CCGCUAGAUGAUGAAGAAAUAGUUUCCUACAUUCUUACAAGCCUUGACAUCGAUUACAAUCAAAUCAUGUCUGUCAUUGUACCACGCACCAAACCAAUUUUAGUUAGUGAAUUGUAUACUCAGCUACUAAGCUUUGAAA